GGGCCCGCAUUAGGUAGGAACAUGUGGUUUAAUUCGAUGAUACGCGAGGAACCUUACCCGGGGAAUUGCAGAGACUGCGAAUAUAGUUGAAAGAUUAUAGCCGCAAGGUCUCUGUGAAGGUGCUGCAUGGUUGUCGUCAGCUCGUGCCGUGGGCUUAAGUGCCAUAACGAGCGCAACCCUAAUCAUUCCUGCACAGGUCAUGCUGAGGACUCUAGUGAGACUGCCGUCGUAAGAUGUGAGGAAGGUGGGGAUGACGUCAAAUCAGCACGGCCCUUACGUCCGGGGCUACACACGUGUUACAAUGGGGGGUACAGAGGGCAGCUACCGGGCGACCGGAUGCCAAUCCCAAAAACCUCUCUCAGUUCGGAUCGAAGUCUGCAACCCGACUUGACUACUG
rnacentral:rRNA from 1 species